AACGAACGCUGGCGGCAGGCUUAGCACAUGCAAGUCGAGCGCCCCGCAAGGGGAGCGGCAGACGGGUGAGUAACGCGUGGGAACGUACCUUUUGGUUCGGAACAACUCCGGGAAACUGGAGCUAAUACCGGAUAAGCCCUAACGGGGAAAGAUUUAUCGCCGAAAGAUCGGCCCGCGUCUGAUUAGCUAGUUGGCGAGGUAACGGCUCACCAAGGCGACGAUCAGUAGCUGGUCUGAGAGGAUGAUCAGCCACACUGGGACUGAGACACGGCCCAGACUCCUACGGGAGGCAGCAGUGGGGAAUAUUGGACAAUGGGCGCAAGCCUGAUCCAGCCAUGCCGCGUGAGUGAUGAAGGCCUUAGGGUUGUAAAGCUCUUUUGUCCGGGAAGAUAAUGACUGUACCGGAAGAAUAAGCCCCGGCUAACUUCGUG
rnacentral:rRNA from 1 species